UACAGAGGGUGCAAGCGUUAAUCGGAAUUACUGGGCGUAAAGCGUGCGUAGACGGUUACAUAAGUCGGGUGUGAAAGCCCCGGGCUCAACCUGGGAAUUGCAUUCGAGACUGCGUAGCUAGGGUGCGGAAGAGGGAAGCGGAAUUUCCGGUGUAGCGGUGAAGUGCGUAGAUAUCGGAAGGAACACCAGUGGCGAAAGCGGCUUCCUGGUCCAGCACCGACGUUCAGGCACGAAAGCGUGGGGAGCAAACAGG
rnacentral:rRNA from 1 species